rnacentral:rRNA from 1 species
GGCUGCAACUCGCCUACAUGAAGUCGGAAUCGCUAGUAAUCGCGGAUCAGCAUGCCGCGGUGAAUACGUUCCCGGGCCUUGUACACACCGCCCGUCACACCAUGAGAGUUUGUAACACCCAAAGCCGGUGGGGUAACCUUUUGGAGCCAGCCGUCUAAGGUGGGACAGAUAAUUGGGGUGAAGUCGUAACAAGGUAAC